rnacentral:rRNA from 1 species
AGCGAACGCUAGCGGCAGGCUUAACACAUGCAAGUCGAGCGCCAGGUUUCGGCCUGGAGCGGCGAACGGGUGAGUAACACGUAGGUCACGUACCCUAUGGUGGGGAAUACCCCGGGGAAACUCGGAUCAAUGCCCCAUAUGUCCGAAAGGAUGAAAGCGCUUCGGCGCGCCAGAGGAUCGGCCUGCGGCCCAUUAUUUAAUCCUAGUUGGUGAGGUAACGGCUCACCAAGGGUACGAUGGGUAGCUGGUCUGAGAGGACGAUCAGCCACACUGGAACUGAGACACGGUCCAGACGCCUACGGGAGGCAGCAGUGGGGAAUAUCUGACAAUGGGCGAAAGCCUGAUCCAGCCAUGCCGCGUGAGUGAUGAAGGCCUUCGGGUUGUAAAGCUCUGUCGUGGGGGAAGAAGUUCUGACGGUACCCCACAAGAAAGCACCGGCUAACUCCGUGCCAGCCGCCGCGGUAACAC